ACGAUGUGCGUGCGGAUGUUUUUUCCCGUUCGUACGGCGCAUCUCACACGCAGAGUGAUUUUGACACAUCGAAGUAAACAAAGCAGCACGGUAAGUUCGCUAAAGUUUUUCGCUGAUAAUUACAUAUUAUUUAUACAUUUCAGCUGGUAAAGGGUAAUAUUUCGCUUCAUCAAUCAACAUUCAACCGAUCAACAUACGAUUCUGGCCAGUUUGCGACGUCAUUCUACCGUCGGACGAUACUGCAUCAGGUCGACGCGCGCCUGCGUUUCCUUGCAAUGGAACCUUAGCAGUGAAAAGGUAAACAAUGAACAUCGUGAAUUUUAUAUGCGUAUAACGUGAGGUUUUUCCUUUUUGAUUGCAUCAAAGCACACCGUCCAGCUAACAUGUACAAGGACAGUUUUGCGAAGAAGCCAAAUCGUGUGUUUCGUUGUCAGAUCGACAUGCGCAUCGACCUGUUAGUUAGCAGAUUAGCAGAGGAAACAUCGGAAACAAUCGGCUUUAUGGCCGGUACAAAAUCUCCUAUAUUACUAGAGUUUUGCGUUGGUACAUCCAGCGGUUCAACACAUACGCACGAUAGAUCUCGUAGCGUUAGAUAUUUAACAACGGAACCUUCCGGAAAUAUACAGGCAACUAAACGUAAUGAACGUACUCAUUCUCAAUCGAAAAGGAAAACAAGAUAUCCACCGUAUUGUGAGUUUGGUGACAAGGCGAUAAAGCUAAUUCAGCUCGUGAAUCUAGCAGUUCUACGCGUCGGAGGAUCAACUAUGCAAUAAGGUGAUGCUGCAUUAAAGCGAAAGUACUGGGCGCAACAAAAGCGAUGCUGUGAAAAUAUUUGUUGAGGUUCUUCUUGUAUCAGGUUAUCAACAGGUCUCUUGGGCAUCGUUCACACGUUAUUUCUUCGGGCAGCUAACAGGGUGGCAUACUUACUUAAAACGUAUGUUUUAAACGUGUGUGAAUAAGUUUUACUUGAUGUGCUGCGUGCAACAAUCAGAUCAUCCACCGUGUAUUACAUCAACUCAUGUACGAUGUACCUGGAAUGUUUGACCUAGUAGACAAAACCACAUACGAUUCGAACGAUACGAUAAGUAUAGUAAACGAACGUGACGAGGAGAUCUAUGGAUAAUUUCUUCAUUUGUGCGCGUUUGAAAUUUUGGGAAUGACCAAAUGUCUGGUUUCAACAGUUUCAACAGCACCACUUGGUGAUCCUCAACAUCAUCAUAGCGGAUGGACGGGCAGAUCAUAUGAUUUACCAUUGGAUGCCGAAGAUCGCGUAAUUCAACUGUAGUGUAGCAACCAAAAAAUCGGUA